rnacentral:rRNA from 1 species
GGAAACCGGAGCUAAUACCGGAUAAUAUAUUGAACCGCAUGGUUCAAUAGUGAAAGACGGUUUUGCUGUCACUUAUAGAUGGAUCCGCGCCGCAUUAGCUAGUUGGUAAGGUAACGGCUUACCAAGGCAACGAUGCGUAGCCGACCUGAGAGGGUGAUCGGCAACACUGGAACUGAGACACGGUCCAG